CAUUCAUGAAACUUGCUCCAUUUAUUGGUACCAGUCCUAGAACCAUACCCAGAAAAAUCAACCAGCGCAAUGACGGUCAAGCAGCUGUUAUUGACAGCUACGCUAUGACCGCCAUCUGGAAACACACAUUUGGAAGAAUCCGGGUUGAUCCAAUGGCACACAGUCAUCGUGGGAAUUGUGAACGAGAACCAUCAUUGGAUGUUGGUGGUAAUGUACCCCCAUGAGAAGAAAACCCUCUUCUUGGAUCCACUUGGAGAAGGGAAAGGC